rnacentral:rRNA from 1 species
GACGAACGCUGGCGGCGUGCUUAACACAUGCAAGUCGAACGAUGAUGCUGGAGCUUGCUCCAGUUGAUUAGUGGCGAACGGGUGAGUAACACGUGAGCAAUCUGCCCUUGACUCUGGGAUAACUGCGGGAAACUGUAGCUAAUACCGGAUACUUUCACCGGAAGGCAUCUUCUGGUGAUGAAAGAAUUUCGGUCAGGGAUGAGCUCGCGGCCUAUCAGCUUGUUGGUGAGGUAACGGCUCACCAAGGCGACGACGGGUAACCGGCCUGAGAGGGUGGCCGGUCAAACGGGGACGGAGACACGGCCCAGACUCCGACGGGAGGCAGCAGUGGGGAAUAUUGCACAAUGGGCGCAAGCCUGAUGCAGCAACGCCGCGUGAGGGAUGAAGGCCUUCGGGUUGUAAACCUCUUUUAGCAGGGAAGAAGCGAAAGUGACGGUACCUGCAGAAAAAGCACCGGCUAAUUACGUGCCAGCCGCCGCAGUAA